AUUGAACGCUGGCGGCAGGCCUAACACAUGCAAGUCGAGCGGAUGAAGGGAGCUUGCUCCUGGAUUCAGCGGCGGACGGGUGAGUAAUGCCUAGGAAUCUGCCUGGUCGUGGGGGAUAACGUCCGGAAACGGGCGCUAAUACCGCAUACGUCCUGAGGGAGAAAGUGGGGGAUCUUCGGACCUCACGCUAUCAGAUGAGCCUAGGUCGGAUUAGCUAGUUGGUGGGGUAAAGGCCUACCAAGGCGACGAUCCGUAACUGGUCUGAGAGGAUGAUCAGGCACACUGGAACUGAGACACGGUCCAGACUCCUACGGGAAGCAGCAGUGGGGAAUAUUGGACAAUGGGCGAAAGCCUGAUCCAGCCAUGCCGCGUGUGUGAAGAAGGUCUUCGGAUUGUAAAGCACUUUAAGUUGGGAGGAAGGGCAGUAAGUUAAUACCGUGCUGUUUUGACGGUACCAACAGAAUAAGCACCGGCUAACUUCGUG
rnacentral:rRNA from 1 species